AAUCUUAUGUCACAAUCCCGCCCAAGCUCCCCUUUCCCCCCUCCCCUCUCCUCCCCUUAGCGAGGUAGGAUUUGGGCCGCAGACCCGGGUGGUCCCAGGACUCCUGGGGCCUGUUGUGGUGGGGUGGGGUGGGGGCACGGCAGAGCUUCCCAAGGAAGUCACGGGACCCCGCCUCAGGAUAUUCAGAAGCUCUAGUCCAGUUCUGGCAGCCUGAACUCUUCCUCCUCCAAGGUGAAAUCCAAGAAUACACUUCCUUCCAAGGACAGCAACUGACCUGCAAAAUGGGCGCCAGUUAGGGUGGCAGGGAGGACGCACAUUACAGUCAUUUAUUCCAAAAUUUGCCAUUUUCGCCAAACUUUCGAUGAUGACCUGGCAUGGUGGGUGGCUCAUGCCUAUAACCCCAGCAUCUUGAGAUCCUGAGGCAAGAGGAUCACUUGAGGCCAGGAGCUUGAGACCAGGCAGGACAACACAGCGAGAUCCCCCAUCUCUAGAAAAAAUAAUUAGCCACAUGUGGUGGUGCAUGCCUAUAGUCCUGGCUACUCAGGAGGCUGAGGUAAGAGAAUCCCUUGAGCCCAGGAG
rnacentral:lncRNA from 1 species